AGAAGAGCGCAGGGUGGAUGCCUUGGCACUAAGAGCCGAAGAAAGACGUGAUAAGCUGCGAAAAGCUGCGGGGAGAUGCAAAUAAUCCUUGAUCCGCAGAUGUCUGAAUGGGGAAACCCGGUACGAAGAACUCGUAUCAUCCAUACGCCAAUCCAUAACGUAUGGAGGGGAACCCGGUGAACUGAAACAUCUAAGUAGCCGGAGGAAGAGAAAGAAACAUCGAUUUUGUUAGUAGCGGCGAGCGAAAGCGAAAGAGGCCAAACCGGAGUGCGUGCACUCCGGGGUUCGGACCGCAUUUAAGAUUCAGUGAUUCUAGCAGAAAGGUUUGGGAAAGCCUGCCGGAGAGGGUGAAAGCCCCGUAAGCGAAAGGAGAGCUGACUGAGCGGAAUCCAGAGUACAUCGAGACACGAGAAACCUUGAUGGAAUGAGCGGGGACCACCCCGUAAGCCUAAAUACUACUUAGUGACCGAUAGCGCAUAGUACUGUGAAGGAAAGGUGAAAAGGACCCCGGGAGGGGAGUGAAAGAGAACCUGAAACCCUGUGUUUACAAGCUGUGGAAGUUCUUUAAAUGAACAACCGCGUACUUUUUGUAGAACGGUCCGGCGAGUUGCGGAUACUGGCAAGGUUAAGCACUUAAGGUGCGGAGCCGAAGGGAUACCAAGUCUUAACAGGGCGUAAAGUCAGUAUACGCAGACCCGAAACCGGGUGAUCUAUCCAUGUCCAGGUUGAAGUUGUCGUAAAAGACAAUGGAGGACCGAAGCCACAUCCGUUGAAAAGGGUGGGCAUGAGGUGUGGAUAGGGGAGAAAUUCCAAUCGAACCCGGAGAUAGCUGGUUCUCCUCGAAAUAGCUUUAGGGCUAGCCUCGAUUUAGUCUUAUGGAGGUAGAGCACUGAAUUUCCGCGGGGGCGUCAAAGCUUACCAAAGAAUAUCAAACUCCGAAUGCCAUGUAGAUGAUGAUCGGGAGUCAGACUGCACGAGAUAAGUUGGGCAGUCAAAAGGGAAAGAGCCCAGACCACCGGCUAAGGUCCCAAAGUGCGUGUUAAGUGGAAAAGGAUGUGGGAAUUCGAAGACAACUAGGAUGUUGGCUCAGAAGCAGCCAUACAUUCAAAGAGUGCGUAACAGCUCACUAGUCGAGAGUUCCUGCGCCGAAAAUGUCCGGGGCUGAAACACGACACCGAAGCCGUGGACUCGCAAUGCGAGUGGUAGAGGAGCAUUCUUAAAACCGACGAAGCUGUACCGGAAGGAGCAGUGGAGGGAUAAGAAGAGAGAAUGCCGGAAUGAGUAGCGAGAGAAAGGUGGGAAUCCUUUCGGCCGAAUAUCUAAGGUUUCCAGAGUAAAGCUGAUCUGCUCUGGGUAAGUCGGGGCCUAAGCACAGGUCGCAAGACGUAAGCGAUGGAUAACAGGUUUAGAUUCCUGUACCACGCAUUAUCAGAACUGUAGGGACGCAUGUGGAAAGCACGGGCCGGGAAUGGAAAGACCGGUACAAGCGNAAGCGUGUGAGCCAUGUGCCGAGAAAAGCUGCUAUUGUGUAAUGCGUGCCCGUACCGUAAACCGACACAGGUGGAUGAGGAGAGAAUCCUAAGGCCGGCGGAAGAAGCAUUGUUAAGGAAUUCGGCAAAAUGACCCCGUAACUUCGGGAGAAGGGGUGCCUGCGAGAGCAGGCCGCAGAGAAUAGGCUCAAGCAACUGUUUAGCAAAAACACAGGUCUAUGCGAAACCGAAAGGUGAAGUAUAUGGGCUGACGCCUGCCCGGUGCUGGAAGGUUAAGAGGAGAGGUUAGCGUAAGCGAAGCUUUGAAUUUAAGCCCCAGUAAACGGCGGCCGUAACUAUAACGGUCCUAAGGUAGCGAAAUUCCUUGUCGGGUAAGUUCCGACCCGCACGAAAGGCGUAAUGAUUUGAGCACUGUCUCGACAAUGCAUCCGGUGAAAUUGAAGUACCAGUGAAGAUGCUGGUUACCCGCGCCAGGACGGAAAGACCCCAUGGAGCUUUACUCCAGUUUGAUACUGGGAUUCGGUACUGCAUGUACAGGAUAGGUGGGAGACGGAGAAGGAUGGACGCCAGUCUGUCCGGAGUCGCUGUUGGGAUACCACCCCUGUAGUACUGGGUUUCUAACCAGUUGCCAUGAACUGGCAAUGGGACAAUGUCAGGCGGGGAGUUUGACUGGGGCGGUCGCCUCCGAAAGGGUAUCGGAGGCGCUCAAAGGUUCCCUCAGAAUGGUUGGAAACCAUUUGAAGAGUGCAAAGGCAGAAGGGAGCUUGACUGCGACACCGACGGGUGGAGCAGGUACGAAAGUAGGACUUAGUGAUCCGGUGGUAUAAAGUGGGAUUGCCAUCGCUCAACGGAUAAAAGCUACCCUGGGGAUAACAGGCUUAUCACUCCCAAGAGUUCACAUCGACGGAGUGGUUUGGCACCUCGAUGUCGGCUCAUCGCAUCCUGGGGCUGUAGCAGGUCCCAAGGGUUGGGCUGUUCGCCCAUUAAAGCGGUACGCGAGCUGGGUUCAGAACGUCGUGAGACAGUUCGGUCCCUAUCCGGCGCGGGCGGAGGAUAUUUGAGAGGAGCUGUCCUUAGUACGAGAGGACCGGGAUGGACGGACCACUGGUGUAUCUGUUGUCGACCAACGGCAUGGCAGAGUAGCCAAGUCUGGAAGGGAUAAACGCUGAAGGCAUCUAAGCGUGAAGCCCCCCUCAAGAUGAGAUAUCCCUCCUUCGGGAGUAAGACCCCUUGAAGACUACAAGGUAGAUAGGGCAGAGGUGGAAGCAUGGCAACAUGUGGAGCUGACUGUUACUAAUAGGUCGAGGGCUUAAUCU
rnacentral:rRNA from 1 species